UGCGCGCAGUGUUGUGACCUCCCUUCGUCGUAUUUUACACAUAUUUGGACGUUGGCAAUUUAUUCCAUCGAUAAUUUUAAAGUUUUAACAUUUUUAUAUUAAAUUCUUUUUUAAUUUAGUUCUAAAACGAUUGAGCUUGCUUUCUGUGAAAAUUUAAUGUACUUUCGUAAAAUAAUUUUGAUGUGGCAGCGAUUUGAAAAGGAAAUUAGUUAAAAAUAAUACAAAAAAAUCGGACAUUUUUUGAUAUUAAAACAUGAAUAACUUGGGCUGUGUUGACAGUAGAAAAAUUUAUUAACCUCUAUCCGACAGCUUUAAAAUUUUUCUACGCGCCGCGCAAAUCCACGCGCGCAUUUUAGCGUGUCAAAAUCGUUUAAAACUAGAAUUAGUUGAUGAAGGAGCAUAAUGCAGAUCAUACGUUGUACGUGUGGCUUGAACAUUAUGAUUUCGCGCCAUUUCUUGUUUCUGCACUCGCUUUGAACUUUCAUGGCUUUAACAGCAGUUAUCGACUGACGACUUUGCUGUAUUACAUAGUGUACUUGGUACAUAAUUGAUCAACGAUAAUAGGAGGAACCCCUGCAAGCUUUAAAGGGCUCGUGUUACUUUAACAUCACUUUUGAAUUUCACGAAAGCAGAUAAAAGUUUUAGUGACGUUGCAGAAACUCCGGAAUACUGUGGAUUGGGAGGAGGAGAAAGUGAUAAUUCUGUUAUAUGGCCUGUUUCUAGGACACGAUAAACUUCCUAAUAAGUUAACAACUCUACCUCGAUUCGAUGCAGUGCACAGUGGGAAAGGUUGAAGUUGACGUUCAAGCAGUCACCCUGCCGAACAAGAAAUCUUUCAGGCCAAGAGGCUAGGUGACUAGAAACUCAAUCACUAUAUCCGUGAAACUUGUCGGGAGCACUGUUAUUUGUGGAGGUCGGACCGAAACUGUAAUCAGACACUAAACAUUGACGAGGACCAAUUACUCUACUCCUUCAAUGAUUAAUAAAGAUCGCUGAUUGCUUUUACUAAUGUAUAAUGUUAAAAUGAAAGAGAAACUAUCGAGACGAAAGAGAAAAAGGCACUCAUUUAUUUAUAGUUUUAUGUCUUAACAAUGAUAUUCGAAAGCUAAUUUUAAAAACUGGCUCUGAAUCCUUGCUAAAUGAUUUGGGAAGGUGUAAGGGCUUAAUAUGCCUGUAGACAUCAUUUUCAGUGGGUUUUAUGAAGUUUAUGAUUAGAGUAUAUUUUGGGACUGAAAUAAGCGCAAGACCUUCGACGUUUCUAUUCCUACUGUUUUUUUAAUUUAGCAAAUAUACAAACAAAUUUUAUACUGUCGUAAAGAUAAAAUAUUUAGUUAUCGGAUAGAGACUUGAAAAUUAAGUAUUACAAUAACCAAGCUAAAAUAUUCAAUGUUAAACUCAAAAAUUUUCACGCGUCUAUGAAGAAAUAUUUAGUUCUGCGCGUAGUUUUUUGGUCAAAUCUACGGCAAAUUUUCGCCAAUUUUGUUCAUAGUUUCAAAAUGUUAUUUAGUAGACAAAUUACUUUCGGACUACA